GAUGAACGCUAGCUACAGGCUUAACACAUGCCAGUCGAGGGGAAACGACAUCGAAAGCUUGCUUUUGAUGGGCGUCGACCGGCGCACGGGUGAGUAACGCGUAUCCAACCUGCCCAUCACUUGGGAAUAACCUUGCGAAAGUAAGACUAAUACCCAAUGACAUCCCACGAAGACAUCUGAAUGGGAUUAAAGAUUUAUCGGUGAUGGAUGGGGAUGCGUCUGAUUAGCUUGUUGGCGGGGUAACGGCCCACCAAGGCAACGAUCAGUAGGGGUUCUGAGAGGAAGGUCCCCCACAUUGGAACUGAGACACGGUCCAAACUCCUACGGGAGGCAGCAGUGAGGAAUAUUGGUCAAUGGGCGAGAGCCUGAACCAGCCAAGUAGCGUGCAGGAUGACGGCCCUAUGGGUUGUAAACUGCUUUUAUAAGGGAAUAAAGUGGGUCUCGUGAGACUUUUUGCAUGUACCUUAUGAAUAAGGACCGGCUAAUUCCGUG
rnacentral:rRNA from 1 species